rnacentral:lncRNA from 1 species
CUUGCAGGAACAUUCUAAAGGAUUCCUUCAGAAGACUUUGGAAAGCAUGAGAACAGAGACAAGCCACAACCUGAAGACCAGGCUGCUGACUUGAGCACAGAUGGGAGAAUGUUAACAGUCAAGAAAUAUGAGGUCUUUGGCUCCUUUCCCAGAACUGCCAGGCUAAGACCUUGGCAGAGAUUCAACAGGAAACUGAACUCUAUUUGCAUAUCCUUUUAUACAUGAGAGAUUAAAAGCUUCAACCUUGAGUGAUCACAGUUUUUGAGAAUCACGAGGAGGCAUUAAAGAAGAGGAAGAGUGUCCCGAGGGAGAUGAGCUGAAGGUGAUGCAAGGAAAUGAAGAUGACUGAUCAUAGAAGGAUGUCUAGACCAGAAAGUGUGUUGUUGUCUACAACACAGAGUGCAAAUGAAGAGCAGGAGCUCAUUCCCAAGAUAAGAGCCACCAAAGGACCCCAGGGCUCUGAAAUCAGGCUGCACCAUUACAACCUACUCCUUCAGCUGUGCAGAUGGAAGAAGGUUAAGAAAGGAACUGCCAACCACAAUGUGCAAACUGUCCAGGCUUUUGUUGUUUCUGUGUUGUUGUAA